CUGCGCAGGGACUCUCCAGGGGUGAGAGGUGCUGGAUUCUGCAGGUCGUGCCAAAGGUUUGGACUGCUGCCUGCAGUCGGUGGCGUUGCUGAAAGGGGAUAAAGCAGACCCAACAUGAUUGAAUGUGUACUUUUGAAAGGUCACUACGGCUUCAGGAUAAAGGGUAGUUUGGAGCGGUGGACAGAAAUUUGUUUCAAAAGUACAGACAAGGUGGAGGGGAACUAAGUGAGCCAGUGCCAUGGGGACAGGGCUGACCAAAAGUGAGUGCAUUUGGAACGUACUGAAGACACAGACCACCACGGCAGCGAAAGGCUGGAAUCCAGGUGCCCCAGUGUGAAGCUUAAUCAAGCCCAUUGUCCCAUGGCCUGGUCCCUGAGCUGCAGAGCCCCAGGGGAGGCACAGGUGCAGGAGAAAAAAAAAUCCAUGGCACUGCCAGGUCACCCCGAGGUUCCUAGGGAAUGCCAAGUAGAGGUGGCCGGCAGGUAGCUGCGUGGCUUCCACAUUUUAGCCCUGGGCAAAGAAAGCAAGGAAGAGGAGACACCAGUGGGAGGAGGGAGAUGGUUUGGGUUGAAAUAUUUGUGGCAGGAGCCUCUCGGUUUUGUGACAUUUCUGAGACACAUUGGAUAGAUGAAGGCUGCUCCACCCUGGGGUCAACCUUCUUAGAAACACAGGGACCAGCAGAGAAAGAAGACGUGCAGAGAAGUGCGAAAGCACUCACGCAGAGGACAGGAAGAGCCAGGGCCGCCAGGAAGCCGAAAUCCAUUUACUCUCCUUUAGAAACUCGUGACAGCCUUUCACAUUCUGGCAUUCUCUGCAGAAAUUCAGGAGCGUGUCCACACCCCAUGCGCGCACUCUGCCUGUCUGAAGACACUGAGGGAAGAACUGUGAAAUGGAAACAGAAGUCACGGUCCUCUGUUUCUCUUACUUCAAGUCAAGUGACAGAAGGAGCACUGCUCAGUCACACGGCAGUUCCCAGGUCCACCUGCGGCACCUCCAGACACCAGCCCCGAAGGAGAGGCUACUGUGGGGUUUUGUUUGUUUGUUUUCAGUAGGACGCGUUUUCUUUGUGGUUUAACCUCUCUCCACCCAACCAAGAGGACAGAGAACAGGUCUCACUGCUCUUCAGGGAAGCUCACAGGAGACCCUGGACCGCAAACCAUCUUCAUGGCCUGCCAGGAAGUCAUCUCACUCCAUAGGCCCUGUCUGCCCCCAUAUGGCACCCCCAGUGCUGGAGGAAUGUGAAGCGAGGGCUACCUCUGUGCCGUGGUGCUCCUGACCACUGUCAACUUGGACAUUCAGCCACAGAGACCUCAGCCUUCCCAAGGCACAGUGGCUCAUGCCGGUAAUCCCAGCACUUUGGGAGGCCGAGGCAGGAGGAUUGCUUGAGCCCGGGAGUUUGAGACCAGCCUGGGCAACAAACUGGGCGGCAAACCCUGGUCCAGAAUCAAGCAGCAGUGCUGACACAGAUGCCCUUUUCCCUCCACGUGGCCCUUUGGACUCUCUUGAGUUGCAUGAGUGACUUGAGGUGGAGACAGAGCCGUUAUAUGAGCCAAGCUGCUGUCUGGGUAAAGUCUACCGUGGUUAAGCACCAUCUCAAGCGUGUCUGACACACACACACACGCAUGCAGGGUGUUCUCGCCACCCUUUUACGCAGUGUGCCCUGACACAUAUACUUACAGUGGACUGUCAGUCACUCACCCUGGUGCCUGCUGGGGACCCAUGGAGAGCAUCCCCUCCAUAUGGCUCACGCCCUGCCCCCACAAGGUUUGGUGGUGGUGGGUGGGAUAUGAGCAGCCGGGCACCCAGGGGCCUCUCAGGUUGGUGAACCCCUUGUCCCCCCAAGACCCCCAUAUGCACCUCUGGUCCAGUUGUGUUGUUCUGUGUUGCAGACAUGGAAAGAAAUGUGCAGCCUCAUCCCAGACAGCUCCGGGCAGAAUUCCAGUCCCGGUUUCUUGUCAAUGACAAGUGGGCCCCGUCCAAUUUGACAAAGACCUUAAGAGAGAAGACUGGGUUCCCCUGCGGAGAAGGGACUUCUCCGUCCAGCCUGCAGCUUUCAGACUUGAGCCUGGAACAGCAACGCCUCCCUGGGUCUCCAGCCUGCUGACAUACCAGGCACAUUCCAGAUUUGCAAACCUCAUGAUCGCGUGUGAACAUCCAGGGCUUCCUACCUGCAGUAUCCCAGCCAGGAAGCAGCACAGAGCAUCUCCGAAGCCUGAAGACAAGGGGUCCUCCCUGUGACCUCACUCUUACAGACAGACCAGCAGCCCUCCUCUUAGUGAAUUCCUUCCCAGGUACAGCCUGUCUGACCCUGAACUCCUAGAAACACAGCUCCACUACUUCCAGUUAGGUGCCUGAUAAGUCAUACAAAGCUGAGAGAGUUUUCAUCUUUUGAGACAGUUUGUAGCCCAGGCUGGAGUACAUUGGCAAGAUCUCAGCUCACUGCAACCUCCGCCUCCCGGGUUCAAGCGAUUCUCCUGUCUCAGCCUCCCGAGUAGCUGAAACUACAGGAGUCCAGCACGCCCAGCUAAGUUUUGUAUUUUUAGUAGAGACAGGGUUCACCAUGGUGCCCAGGCUGGUCUCAAACUCCUGGCCUCAAAUCAUUCACCUGCCCCUCCUAGCAAAGUGCUGGGAUUAUAGGUGAGAGCCACCGCGACCGGCCCCAAGAGAGUUUUCAAACAGACUGCGGGACCUUUGAGUUCCCCUUAACUGAAACCCCUUAAUUCUCCUCUUGCACCGACACCAAGCCCUAAAUGCAACAGGCAGAGACGGCCCCUCCCAUGUUGGGGUGCUGGUGGGGGAAGGAGGAUGAGAAAGAAAGAGCCUCAGAUCAAUAUCCCUGCUGGGAAAGAGGUGGAUAAAAGUCCCAGCCUCGAUCAGGAGAGAAAAGAAGCAGAGGCCACAGCGGGUCCUCAGCUGCUGUCUUCGGAAGGGUAUGAGCUGCAUCAUCAAUACGUCACAAUGAAACUUACAAUUCCUGCCCCAGUUCAUGUUGCUGCUGAUGCAGUGGACUGGGAAGAACCCAGUUAGAAUGGACCCCAGACAACAUCUCAUCCCAAGGCUCUGUCCCCUGCUAAUUGGAGAGGGGAAGGGAAGGACAUUUCCACCAGCACACCCUUAUGGGAUGGGGGUCCCAGGCCCCCCCUGCCCUCCUGGCUCUCGCCUCCCUCCCGGGUGCCCUACAUCAUCUAGGGGUCCCAGCUAUGGAGGAAAAUGAGAAGGGACAUGACCUGCACUAAGAAACCUGCAAGAAACAGGCCAUGCCAUAGGCUGAACAGCGUCUCCCUGAGAAAAAAGAGAAGUGAAGAGUCCUAACCCACGGACCUCAGAAUGUGACCGCAGUUGCCCAUCAUCCCACCCUCUGGCAUGGCUACCUGUGCUUGUUUUUAACACUAUGACCUCCCCUGUGUGUGGGCAGUGCCAAGGCCCCUGGGCAGUAGCCCUCACCAGUCCCCAGCCACUGGGCCCUGAUGGGUUGGGGAGAGAGACCCCUGAAGUCUCUCUCUUCGUUUUUCUUUCAGACAGAGUCUCACUCUGUUGCCCAGGCUGGAGUGCAAUGGCUCGAUCUCGGCUCACUGCAACCUCCACUUCCUGGACUCAAGUGAGUCUCCUGCCUCAGCCUCCCGAGUAGCUGGGAUUACAGGUGCCCACCACCAUGCCCAGCUAAUCUUUGUAUUUUUAGUAGAGAUGGGAUUUCACCAUGUUGGUCAGGCUGGUCUCAAACUCCUGACCUCCAGUGAUC